rnacentral:rRNA from 1 species
CCUACGGGUGGCAGCAGUGGGGAAUAUUGGUCAAUGGGGGAAACCCUGAUCCAGCGACGCCGCGUGGAUGAAGAAGUAUUUCGGUAUGUAAACCCCUAUUAUCAGAGAAGAUAAUGACGGUAUCUGACUAAUAAGCACCGGCUAACUACGUGCCAGCAGCCGCGGUAAUACGGAGGGUGCAAGCGUUAUCCGGAUUUACUGGGCGUAAAGGGCGCGUAGACGGUGUAGCAAGUCAGAUGUGAAAGGCUAUGGCGUAACCACAGGACUGCAUUUGAAACUGUUAAACUAGAGUACAGGAGAGGUAGGUGGAAUUCUUGGUGUAGGGGUAAAAUGCGUAGAUAUGAGGAGGAAUACUCGUGGCGAAGGCGACCUACUAGAACGUAACUGACGCUGAGGCGCGAAAGCGUGGGGAGCAAACAGGAUUAGAUACCCUUGUAGUC